CGUCCCGCCCGACCUCCACCCUUUGUGUGUUUAACUACCUUGUGUGCUUUGGCGGGACCGCUCGGUCUCGAGCCGCUGGGGAUUCGUCCCAGGCGAGCGCCCGCCACAGAUAAACCAAACUCUUGUUAUUAAACCGGUCGUCUGAGAUAAAAUUUUGAAUAAAUCAAAACUUUCAACAACGGAUCUCUUGGUUCUCGCAUCGAUGAAAAACGCACCGAAAUGCGAUAAGUAAUGUGAAUUGCAAAAUUCAGUGAAUCAUCGAAUCUUUGAACGCACAUUGCCCCCCUUGGUAUUCCGAGGGGCAUGCCUGUUCGAGCGUCUUUACACCACUCAAGCUAUGCUUGGUAUUGGGUGCCGCCCUUAGUUGGGCGCGCCUUAAAAACCUCGGCGAGGCCUCACCGGCUUUAGGCGUAGUAAAAUUUAUUCGAACGUCUGUCAAAGGAGAGGACUUCUGCCCACUGAAACCUUUUAUUUUUCUAGGUUGACCUCGGAUCAGGUAGGGAUACACGCUGAACUUAUCCAUAUCAAUAAACGCGAGGAG
rnacentral:rRNA from 1 species